UUUUACCUGUAAUUAGUUUCUUGAUGUAUUAGGCUUAGACUUGCAUGAUUUUUGCUUUAUUUUGCUUGAUAACUUACUCUGUUCUGUCUAUUACUUGAAGCCACUUAAAUCCUACUCUUUAUACUUAACUGAUAUUAAUAGUAAACCUAGAGUAAGUAAUUAAUACUUGAGUGGGAGUAAACAGCUGUACAUCUCUAUCAGUGUUAUAGAGGGUGGAAAAUUUAUGAAUUACUCUGUAUAAAGCUUUAUACAGAGUACGACGGAUUUGGGGUUUGGAUCCCAUUGGGAGCUGGGUGUCUCGAUGAUGGAGAUAGGGAACCUGCUAAGCAGUUUUUAGUUAAAGUCUGCAGCUUUGGGGGCAUGGACCAGACCUGGGUCUGUGUUGCAGCAAGCUAGUGUGUCUGGCUCAACAAGGCAGAGUUCUGGAGUCCUAAGCUGGCAGGGAAAAUGGGCUCAGAGGGAAUUCCAGCACAUCAGGUGACAGUCCCAAGGGGGUCUCUGUAACCAAACCUGUGUCACCCCUUAUCCACUAGGUGGAUCGCUUCCAUUUGGCGAGGUAGGUGGCCCUGGUGGAAGGCUUUCUACUUGCUGGAUCUUGGAUGAGCACUGCCAUCCUGCACGUUCAGCCACACAGCAGCAAAACUGUUAGAUGUAGCACUGCCAGAUUCAGGUGCAGGAGUCUGCCAUGGUUCUGAAACAAACAGGUCUGCCCCGAGCAGCACUGAGAGGUCCAGCAGAGUGCUGAACCAGUGUUGGUGCGGCCGCACCGGCGCUACGCAGAUGACCAUCACCCUGUGCUGCUUGAUCCUCAUGAGGACCCAGGGCAGCAAUGGCACCAAAGGGAAGGCGUACAUCAGAGCCCCCAACUACGGGAGCAGGAAGGUGUCCAACAGGGAUCCCCUGUCCCUGCCCUGGAACGAGCAGAAGACAUAGCAUUUUCUGUUGUGCCUGGAUGUGAAUAGGUCCACCUGGGCACUUCCCCACCUGUGGAAGAUAGAACUGACCACCUCCAGAUGGAGGGACCACUUGUGGUGAGACAAGAAUGUCCUGCUGAGGUGGUCUAGCCAAGUGUUCCUGACUCCUGAGCGGCAAAUGGCCACAAGGUGGAUGUCAGGCUGCAGACAGAAAUUCUAGAGCGCUUCCUGACAGAGUGCAGACGAUUGUUAAUAUAGAAGACCAUGGCCACAUUGUCCAUUAGGACCUGAACCACCCUGUUUUGUACGUGAGGCAGAAUGGCUUGGCAGGCUAGGGAUGUGCAGGGGCUGAUCGUGACUGGACCAAUGGCCUUGAGUAUUGAGAUCCAGGUGGGCUCCCCAACCCAGAUCCAAAGCUUCGGGAGACUGGGGGACUCCUUCCUGCACCAAUGUGGGAUCUUGCCACCAGGUGAGAGAUGACAGUACGCUGUCCGGAACCCUGAUCACCCAUGCUGUGCUGAUUGGGGGCAUAGACCGACGCCAGCCACGACUGUAGGGGCCUGAGGCAGAGUCGCACAUGCCAGACCAUGCCCAGGUUGCAGCAAGUGGAAAAGACCAGAUUUAGAUGCUUCCAUACCUGAUCCACACCUUAUCAACCAGUUGUCGAGGUAUGGGUAGAUUUGGACUCCUUGACAUCGCAGGAGCUGAAACGAGGGGUACCCCAAGACCUCGACAACAGCAGAAGGCAGAAUGGCUUUCUAGCCUGCUGAGGAGUAUACAGACCCGAAGAGUAGAGGGUGGCCUGAGAGUCUAAGGCUAUGGAGUCUUGCAUCAGUUACCUCCAAGAAAGCCCUGUUCCCUCAAAAGGGAGGUCCUGGAGAGAGUUGUUUGCAUGGCUAUCGCAGAGGUGACCACCCUGGACACUGAGUCUGUGGCAUCACAGGCCAUCUGGAGUACAUCUCUGGCUACCACCUUGCCCUCUUCCACCACAGUGGCAAAUUCCUGUGGGAGGUUCUCUUUGAACUUGCUGAUGGAGUCCCACAGGUUGAAAUUGUAUCUGCCAAGUAGGUCCUGAUCAUUAGGGACCUUAAAUCGGAGGCUGGCUGUUGAGUAAAUUUUUCUGCCAAAAAAGUCCAACCUCUUGGCAUCUUUAUUUUUGGGGGUGCCACUUGCCUGUCCCUUUUGUUGACAGUGGACAUGACCAGGGACCCUGCAGGAGGGUGCGUGUAAAGGUAUUCAUCCCCCUUGGCAGGGACAUAGUACUUUUCCACCUUCUUGGAUGUGGGUGGAACAGAAGAUGGGGUCUGCCACACUGACUUGGCAAUCUUUCGGACUCCUGGGUGAAUGGGCAAUGCGACCCAGGCUGGGACAGAGGAGGGAAUGACAUUGAAGAGGUCAUCAGGUUCCUCAGCUAACUCCUCAACCUCCAAGUUCAGGUUGGCCGCCACCAUUUUAAGUAGGGCUUGGUGCUCCCUGAAGUCAUUGGGGGUGAGGCUACAGGUUUGUGAGGGCCCUGCCACUGCCUCAUCUGGGGAAGAGGACGAGUAUAUCUGGAGGGUAUCGCUGGGGCCUCCCAUGAAGUCGCCGCUUCAGAUUUGGUCCCUUGCUCAGACAUCAGUCCCGGCUGUGCCAGAGGUAGCUUGUGCGAUGCAGCUUGGGAGGAGUAGUGGGAGUACAGUGCCAGCAUAACAGGCACCCAUCACGGGUUCCAGUAUUGCCACUGGGCAGGCCAUUGUCCUUGACCCCUUGCCGGUGCUGCAUGCGCCUUGGUGGUUCCUGGCUCAGAGACAAUUCACCCUUUACAGGGGAAGGGCUUGAAGUGUCCCUGCAACCUGGACCACUGUCCUUCUGGUGACCAGGGCAGGGCUGUGGAAGACUGAGUCUGUCAACCGACUCUCAUUGGCAACUGGUAUGGGGAAGGUGAAGGCUGGUGUCUGCCCAAAGAACGG